GCCCUGGCCGGGAGAAGAUUCCAUGGGAAGGAGAGUUCACCUUUAGAAGCGAUCCGUGAGCUGGGUUAAUAGCGUCCUGAGGCAGUUUCUACC
rnacentral:rRNA from 1 species